UACGUAGGGUGCGAGCGUUGUCCGGAUUUAUUGGGCGUAAAGAGCUCGUAGGCGGUUUGUCGCGUCGGCCGUGAAAUCUCCACGCUUAACGUGGAGCGUGCGGUCGAUACGGGCAGACUAGAGUUCGGUAGGGGAGUCUGGAAUUCCUGGUGUAGCGGUGAAAUGCGCAGAUAUCAGGAGGAACACCGGUGGCGAAGGCGGGUCUCUGGGCCGAUACUGACGCUGAGGAGCGAAAGCGUGGGGAGCGAACAGG
rnacentral:rRNA from 1 species